rnacentral:rRNA from 1 species
AGAGUUUGAUCAUGGCUCAGAAUCAACGCUGGCGGCGCGCUUAACACAUGCAAGUCGCACGAGAAAGUGGAGCAAUCCAUGAGUAAAGUGGCGUACGGGUGAGUAACACGUGGAUCAUCUACCUCUUAGUGGGGAAUAACCCUGGGAAACCGGGGCUAAUACCGCAUAAGCCUGAGAAGGGAAAGCAGCAAUGCGCUGAGAGAGGAGUCCGCGGCCGAUUAGCUAGUUGGUAGGGUAAUGGCCUACCAAGGCAAUGAUCGGUAGCCGGCCUGAGAGGGCACACGGCCACACUGGCACUGAAACACGGGCCAGACUCCUACGGGAGGCAGCAGUGGGGAAUCUUGCACAAUGGAGGAAACUCUGAUGCAGCGACGCCGCGUGAGCGAUGAAGCCCUUCGGGGUGUAAAGCUCUUUCGACGGGAACGAUAAUGACGGUACCCGGAGAAGAAGCUGCGGCUAACUACGUGCCAGCAGCCGCGGUAAUACGUAGGCAGCAAGCGUUGUUCGGAAUUACUGGGCGUAAAGAGUGUGUAGGCGGUUCUCUAUGUUCGGUGUGAAAUCUCCCGGCUUAACUGGGAGGGUGCGCCGAAAACUGGAGGGCUUGAGUAUGGGAGAGGAAAGCGGAAUUCCUGGUGUAGCGGUGAAAUGCGUAGAUAUCAGGAGGAACACCUGCGGUGUAGACGGCUUUCUGGACCAUCACUGACGCUGAGACACGAAAGCGUGGGUAGCAAACAGGAUUAGAUACCCCCGUAGUCC